AUUGAACGCUGGCGGCAUGCCUUACACAUGCAAGUCGAACGGUAACAGGUCUUCGGAUGCUGACGAGUGGCGAACGGGUGAGUAAUACAUCGGAACGUGCCCGAUCGUGGGGGAUAACGAGGCGAAAGCUUUGCUAAUACCGCAUACGAUCUACGGAUGAAAGCGGGGGAUCUUCGGACCUCGCGCGGACGGAGCGGCCGAUGGCAGAUUAGGUAGUUGGUGGGAUAAAAGCUUACCAAGCCGACGAUCUGUAGCUGGUCUGAGAGGAUGAUCAGCCACACUGGGACUGGGACACGGCCCAGACUCCUACGGGAGGCAGCAGUGGGGAAUUUUGGACAAUGGGCGAAAGCCUGAUCCAGCCAUGCCGCGUGCAGGAUGAAGGCCUUCGGGUUGUAAACUGCUUUUGUACGGAACGAAAAGCCUCUUUCUAAUAAAGAGGGGUCAUGACGGUACCGUAAGAAUAAGCACCGGCUAACUACGUG
rnacentral:rRNA from 1 species